UAAGGAGCGAGAAAUCCACAUGACGAACACUGAUUGCGUCAUUUUAAAUCAGUAUAAUUCAAUACAAUAUAACUCAAUAUUAUCAGAUAUAGUUCUGACAAGAAAACAUUAAGGGUGAAUGUGAAUGUUACUCACCAGGCCGUACAGCAUCUCAUAGAGAACAGCUCCUAAACACCACCAGUCUACCGUCCUGUCAUACGGCUGCUUGUGUAGAAC